rnacentral:rRNA from 1 species
UACAGAGGGUGCAAGCGUUGUUCGGAAUUAUUGGGCGUAAAGGGUGCGUAGGCGGUGCGGUAAGUCUGUAGUGAAAUCUCUGGGCUCAACUCAGAGUCUGCUAUAGAAACUGCCGUGCUUGAGUGUGGGAGAGGUGAGUGGAAUUCCCGGUGUAGCGGUGAAAUGCGUAGAUAUUAGGAGGAACACCAGUGGCGAAAGCGACUCACUGGCUAAGCACUGACGCUAAGGCGCGAAAGCGUGGGGAGCAAACAGG